CAAAGUAAGAUUUACAAAUAAGUCAACAUGACUGAAAUGGUCAGUUGACCCCCUUAGGAGUUAUUGCCCUUUAUAGUCAAUUUUAACCAUUUUUCGUAAAUCUUAGUAAUCUUUUACAAAAAUCUUCUCCUCUGAAACUACUUGGCCAAAUUAAUCCAAACUUGGCCACAAUCAUCUUUUGGGUUAGUAGUUUGAAAAAUGUGUCCGGUGACCCGGCCAUCCAACCAAGAUGGCUGCCAUGGCUAAAAAUAGAACAUGGGGUAAAAUGCAGUUUUUGGCUUAUAACUCAAAACCCAAAGCAUUUAGAGCAAAUCUGAAAUGGGGUAAAAUUGUUUAUCAGGUCAACAUUUAUCUGCUCUGAAAUUUUUAGAUGAAUCGGACAACCC
rnacentral:lncRNA from 1 species